rnacentral:rRNA from 1 species
UUAAGCGACUAAGCGUACACGGUGGAUGCCCUGGCAGUCAGAGGCGAUGAAGGACGUGCUAAUCUGCGAUAAGCGUCGGUAAGGUGAUAUGAACCGUUAUAACCGGCGAUUUCCGAAUGGGGAAACCCAGUGUGUUUCGACACACUAUCAUUAACUGAAUCCAUAGGUUAAUGAGGCGAACCGGGGGAACUGAAACAUCUAAGUACCCCGAGGAAAAGAAAUCAACCGAGAUUCCCCCAGUAGCGGCGAGCGAACGGGGAGCAGCCCAGAGCCUGAAUCAGUGUGUGUGUUAGUGGAAGCGUCUGGAAAGGCGCGCGAUACAGGGUGACAGCCCCGUACACAAAAAUGCACAUGCUGUGAGCUCGAUGAGUAGGGCGGGACACGUGGUAUCCUGUCUGAAUAUGGGGGGACCAUCCUCCAAGGCUAAAUACUCCUGACUGACCGAUAGUGAACCAGUACCGUGAGGGAAAGGCGAAAAGAACCCCGGCGAGGGGAGUGAAAAAGAACCUGAAACCGUGUACGUACAAGCAGUGGGAGCACGCUUCGGCGUGUGACUGCGUACCUUUUGUAUAAUGGGUCAGCGACUUAUAUUCUGUAGCAAGGUUAACCGAAUAGGGGAGCCGAAGGGAAACCGAGUCUUAACUGGGCGUUAAGUUGCAGGGUAUAGACCCGAAACCCGGUGAUCUAGCCAUGGGCAGGUUGAAGGUUGGGUAACACUAACUGGAGGACCGAACCGACUAAUGUUGAAAAAUUAGCGGAUGACUUGUGGCUGGGGGUGAAAGGCCAAUCAAACCGGGAGAUAGCUGGUUCUCCCCGAAAGCUAUUUAGGUAGCGCCUCGUGAAUUCAUCUCCGGGGGUAGAGCACUGUUUCGGCAAGGGGGUCAUCCCGACUUACCAACCCGAUGCAAACUGCGAAUACCGGAGAAUGUUAUCACGGGAGACACACGGCGGGUGCUAACGUCCGUCGUGAAGAGGGAAACAACCCAGACCGCCAGCUAAGGUCCCAAAGUCAUGGUUAAGUGGGAAACGAUGUGGGAAGGCCCAGACAGCCAGGAUGUUGGCUUAGAAGCAGCCAUCAUUUAAAGAAAGCGUAAUAGCUCACUGGUCGAGUCGGCCUGCGCGGAAGAUGUAACGGGGCUAAACCAUGCACCGAAGCUGCGGCAGCGACGCUGAUGCGUUGUUGGGUAGGGGAGCGUUCUGUAAGCCUGUGAAGGUGUGCUGUGAGGCAUGCUGGAGGUAUCAGAAGUGCGAAUGCUGACAUAAGUAACGAUAAAGCGGGUGAAAAGCCCGCUCGCCGGAAGACCAAGGGUUCCUGUCCAACGUUAAUCGGGGCAGGGUGAGUCGACCCCUAAGGCGAGGCCGAAAGGCGUAGUCGAUGGGAAACAGGUUAAUAUUCCUGUACUUGGUGUUACUGCGAAGGGGGGACGGAGAAGGCUAUGUUGGCCGGGCGACGGUUGUCCCGGUUUAAGCGUGUAGGCUGGUUUUCCAGGCAAAUCCGGAAAAUCAAGGCUGAGGCGUGAUGACGAGGCACUACGGUGCUGAAGCAACAAAUGCCCUGCUUCCAGGAAAAGCCUCUAAGCAUCAGGUAACAUCAAAUCGUACCCCAAACCGACACAGGUGGUCAGGUAGAGAAUACCAAGGCGCUUGAGAGAACUCGGGUGAAGGAACUAGGCAAAAUGGUGCCGUAACUUCGGGAGAAGGCACGCUGAUAUGUAGGUGAAGUCCCUCGCGGAUGGAGCUGAAAUCAGUCGAAGAUACCAGCUGGCUGCAACUGUUUAUUAAAAACACAGCACUGUGCAAACACGAAAGUGGACGUAUACGGUGUGACGCCUGCCCGGUGCCGGAAGGUUAAUUGAUGGGGUCAGCGCAAGCGAAGCUCUUGAUCGAAGCCCCGGUAAACGGCGGCCGUAACUAUAACGGUCCUAAGGUAGCGAAAUUCCUUGUCGGGUAAGUUCCGACCUGCACGAAUGGCGUAAUGAUGGCCAGGCUGUCUCCACCCGAGACUCAGUGAAAUUGAACUCGCUGUGAAGAUGCAGUGUACCCGCGGCAAGACGGAAAGACCCCGUGAACCUUUACUAUAGCUUGACACUGAACAUUGAGCCUUGAUGUGUAGGAUAGGUGGGAGGCUUUGAAGUGUGGACGCCAGUCUGCAUGGAGCCGACCUUGAAAUACCACCCUUUAAUGUUUGAUGUUCUAACGUUGACCCGUAAUCCGGGUUGCGGACAGUGUCUGGUGGGUAGUUUGACUGGGGCGGUCUCCUCCUAAAGAGUAACGGAGGAGCACGAAGGUUGGCUAAUCCUGGUCGGACAUCAGGAGGUUAGUGCAAUGGCAUAAGCCAGCUUGACUGCGAGCGUGACGGCGCGAGCAGGUGCGAAAGCAGGUCAUAGUGAUCCGGUGGUUCUGAAUGGAAGGGCCAUCGCUCAACGGAUAAAAGGUACUCCGGGGAUAACAGGCUGAUACCGCCCAAGAGUUCAUAUCGACGGCGGUGUUUGGCACCUCGAUGUCGGCUCAUCACAUCCUGGGGCUGAAGUAGGUCCCAAGGGUAUGGCUGUUCGCCAUUUAAAGUGGUACGCGAGCUGGGUUUAGAACGUCGUGAGACAGUUCGGUCCCUAUCUGCCGUGGGCGCUGGAGAACUGAGGGGGGCUGCUCCUAGUACGAGAGGACCGGAGUGGACGCAUCACUGGUGUUCGGGUUGUCAUGCCAAUGGCACUGCCCGGUAGCUAAAUGCGGAAGAGAUAAGUGCUGAAAGCAUCUAAGCACGAAACUUGCCCCGAGAUGAGUUCUCCCUGACCCUUUAAGGGUCCUGAAGGAACGUUGAAGACGACGACGUUGAUAGGCCGGGUGUGUAAGCGCAGCGAUGCGUUGAGCUAACCGGUACUAAUGAACCGUGAGGCUUAACCUU